AUUGAACGCUGGCGGCAGGCCUAACACAUGCAAGUCGAGCGGAUCGGCGGACGGGUGAGUAUUGCCUAGGAAUCUGCCAGGUAGUGGGGGAUAACGUCCGGAAACGGGCGCUAAUACUGCAUACUAUCAGAUUAGCAUAGGUCGGAUUAGCUAGAUGGUGGGGUAAAGGCCUACCAAGGCGACGAGCCGUAGCUGGUCUGAGAGGAUGAUCAGUCACACUGGAACUGGGACACGGUCCAGACUCCUACGGGAGGCAGCAGUGGGGAAUAUUGGACAAUGGGCGAAAGCCUGAUCCAGCCAUGCCGCGUGUGUGAAGAAGGUCUUCGGAUUGUAAAGCACUUUAAGUUGGGAGGCGUUACCAACAGAAUAAGCACCGGCUAACUUCGUGCCAGCAGCCGCGGUAAUUC
rnacentral:rRNA from 1 species